GCAAGUCGAGCGCUCUCCUUCGGGAGGGAGCGGCGGACGGGUUAGUAACGCGUGGGAACAUACCCUUUUCUACGGAAUAGCCUUUGGAAACGAAGAGUAAUACCGUAUACGCCCUUCGGGGGAAAGAUUUAUCGGUUAAGGAUUGGCCCGCGUUAGAUUAGAUAGUUGGUGGGGUAAUGGCCUACCAAGUCUACGAUCUAUAGCUGGUUUGAGAGGAUGAUC
rnacentral:rRNA from 1 species